rnacentral:rRNA from 1 species
GUGCGCAGCCGCGGUAAUACCGGCAGCCCGAGUGAUGACCGAUCUUAUUGGGCCUAAAGUGUCCGUAGCUGGCUACGCAAGUCCGUCGGGAAAUCCACUCGCCCAACGAGUGGGCGUCCGACGGAAACUGCAUAGCUUGGGACCGGAAGGCUCGAAGGGUACGUUCGGGGUAGGAGUGAAAUCCCAUAAUCCCGCACGGACCACCGAUGGCGAAAGCACUUCGAGAAAACGGAUCCGACAGUGAGGGACGAAAGCCAGGGUCUCCAACCGGAUUAGAUACCCUAGUAGUCC